rnacentral:rRNA from 1 species
UUUUGCUUGCAAACUAAAGAUGGCGACCGGCGCACGGGUGAGUAACACGUAUCCAACCUGCCGAUAACUCGGGGAUAGCCUUUCGAAAGAAAGAUUAAUAUCCGAUAGUAUAUUAAAACCGCAUGGUUUUACUAUUAAAGAAUUUCGGUUAUCGAUGGGGAUGCGUUCCAUUAGUUUGUUGGCGGGGUAACGGCCCACCAAGACUACGACGGAUAGGGGUUCUGAGAGGAAGGUCCCCCACAUUGGGACUGAGACACGGUCCAA